UUCAUUAUUCCUCCUAUUUCUUUGAUAUCCCCACUUCUGAACCGGGAGGAGCUGGAUUAUUGAAAUGCGUAUAAAAUAAAAUUCUCUAUCAGAAUAAUCAACAAAAUAAAUCGAAGCAUUACUAUAAUUAAAACAAAUGUUCAUAGAUGUAACUCAAUGCACUGAUUUUCGAUACUUUCUUUAACCACAAAAAGCAUACAUGCAAAAACAAGUCUUCUAAGCAUCUUAAUUAUGAGAUUUUCUUCAGCACUAGCAAGAACAUUGUUAUUGGAUUUCACUAAACUGAAUAUGUUCUUUAACUGCAAAUAUAGUCGAAUCAAGUAUGUAACAUCUCUCAACUGAAAAUAUACUCCCACACCAAAUAUGAAGCAUCAAUCUCUAAUAAAAUAAAGUGUGAGGCGAAUUUGAUUGAUAUUCUCAAACAAAUGAUAAUUUCUAAACAAAUUAUAAUCACAAUUGAGGUAAUACCUUUCAAUGAAGAGAAUCGAUGGGCAUGGAGGCGGCGAGGCGGCGAACGGUGUGCUGAGCGCGAGCCCAUGUUGAGAAAGCGCGCAGAGGCAGAGAGAGGAUAGGCGGCCGCGUGGAUGCGGAGAGAGACGAACGGCGUCGAGGCAAAUAUGAAAUAGAGAAAAAGAGGAACAAUGGAGAGGCAGAAGGAAGACAAAUUGAUUCUGAUUUUUUGGGUGUAAAAAGAGGAACGAUUUUUCUAUUUAGUUUUUUUGAGGAAUGCAUUUUGACGGCAAUUCCCAUUAGCUUUUGACUUUUAGUAGGUUUUGAGUUGUUUUUUUUAGUUCUAUAUAUAUAUAUAUAUAGAGGCUCAAUAUAGAUAUAAAUAAAAAAGAACAGAGAACCUAUUUCAGCCAUUCGAUCAUCAAGAUCUACGGUGGAUGCAUCAUCUUGUUGGAUGAAUAUAGAACCUGGUUUGCCCUAAAAAAUACUACUCCGUGCUUUGUAUGAAUUAUGCUUUAUAGAAUCAACAAUAUAUUAUAUAUAUACUAUAAUUUGUCACCCCGUGCAAUGCACGAGAAAAUAUUUUAUAUUUUAUAAGAUUCAUAUAUAAUUUAUAAAUAAAUUUUUAAUUUUAUUAUAACUACAAAAUUGUCACCCAAUUUUAAAAUUGAUUUCAAAUUAAAUGUUACUUUUUUAAUAUAUUAGUAAAUAGAUAUUUAAUAGAACUACAACUGAAUUUAUAUUAAAAUUAAAAUAGUCAAAUAUAUUUAUAUAUAAAUAAGCCCUUUUACUCGAUUGGUUUAGGAAAAAAAGAGAGAGCAAUAAAUAAGCCCAACAUUCUCCUCAAAAAAACAAAAAGCCCAACAAAUAUAUAGAUAUAUAGAUUUUCAUAAUUGAUUUAGCCGAAUAGCAUACCAAUUGGUUCCAGAUUCAAUUUCGACUUCGAGGGUUGAGGAGGGAAUACCGCGCGCCUUCUGCGAUUGUUGAGGGAAAUUGAAGGCAGCGCCGGCCACGUCGCCGGCACCUCUUCCCACCGGCGCAUCUUACCCACGUCGCCAGUCUACUGCGCCUGAGCGCCUUCGGCCUUGAGUCCGCGCCUGAGUCCCUUCGGCCUUGAGUCCGCGCCUAAGCUCCUGAGCAAUCUGAUAGCAAGUCCCUUUGCGGCGGUCCAGCAAUCGAAAGCUGCUGACAGAUUCCAGAUUCUUUGAAAGGUUAGCUCCACAGUUCGGCCUUUCUCUUCAUUUUGUUUGAUUUCAUCCGUAACAGCAUUCGAAAAGUGCCAGAUUCUUAUGUUUGAAUAUUGAGAAGAUUUAAGUUUGUAUUCUUAUCUUAAGCUGCCAGAUUUGAGAAGAUUCGAAUACUGCCAGAUUUUUUGUUCUGUGUAAAUUAGGUUCUUAAGCUGCCAAAUUUGAGUAAGUGUUAAAUUAGGGCUUUUGCCAGCUAUAGAUAGUUAGCUUCAUUUUUUAAGGGAAAAGUGACGAUUUUAUUUAGUUUUGUGCAACUUCGUGGGAGAGGUCUGCUUAAGCAUUUCAAUUCAUCCGGUAUGGCCGAAUUCACAAUUUAAUUAUAAUAUAAUUAAAUUCAUGGUGUGAUCUCUGGCCAUCUUAGCACUAAAAGUUGGAUUUUUCAAAUUUUGAGCUAUCUUUGUAGUAACACAUCCGAAUAAUUAGGCCUUUUUAUGGAUGGAUGUUAAAUUUUCAAAGAGAAAUUUCCUUGGUUAUAGUAUUGUUAUGAAUCAUGAUUAUGAUCAGUUUUGCAAAAUGCAACCAACUUACGAACAAUAAAAUCUCUUCUCAUAACUAAGGAAAUCAGCAAACAUCACAGAUCCUGCAAACACCAAAAUUUCCAAAGGUAAGUAAACACUUACUUUGGUUAGUAUAUAUUUAUAGUUUUAUCGGAUUUAUCAAUACAUGUUUUGAUUUUUAUUUUCUACAAAACAGGUUCCUCAUAAGAACAAUGAAAAAGCUUACAAAAUCUGCAAUAAUCCAGAGCAUUAGUACCAGAAAUAAUACAUUUAAUUCAGGUACUAUAUGACCGCCCAAAAUGCAGUAUACAACAUAUUUAUUCAUUACUUGAAUAUUUACUCCACAUAUUAUGUUCAUUUUUAUUCACAAAACAGAGACUCCAACAUCAGGAACAUUAAAAGACUUACUCGGUCAACUGUGAUUCGCGG
rnacentral:lncRNA from 1 species